rnacentral:rRNA from 1 species
GUGCCAGCAGCCGCGGUAAUACGUAGGGUCCAAGCGUUAUCCGGAAUCACUGGGCGUAAAGCGUGCGUAGGUGGCGUGUUAAGUGUGAUGUUAAAUCGUGGGGCUCAACCCUGUCGGUGCAUCACAUACUGGCAUGCUAGAGGACAGCAGAGGCAAGUGGAAUUUGUAGUGUAGCAGUGAAAUGCGUAGAUAUUACAAGGAACACCAAUGGCGAAGGCAGCUUGCUGGGCUACUCCUGACACUGAGGUACGAAAGCGUGGGGAGCGAACAGGAUUAGAUACCCUGGUAGUCC